rnacentral:lncRNA from 1 species
GACAGAGCACUGCAAGCAGAGGGAGAGAGAGUGUCUCUCACAGGCUUUUGCAGAGUGAAAGGAAAGCCAGUCUCCGGGAGAAAGCGUUAUUUUGUGCUGAGAACACGGAAGAGUGAAUCAUCUCAGAAAGAUUGCUCAUUUGCAGAGUAAACUCUGUGUCGUCAGAGAGGAAGAGGUUGGGGAUUUUUCACAAAAGUUACCAAUCCAUUGAUAAAAGGAAGAAACAAUCUAUACUCGGCCAGCCUGUCUUUUAAUUGGCAAGAUCCAGUUUCUUAGCAGAACUGAACAACUUAGAAGGGAUAGAAACUGCGCCAAGAGAAAGGAAAAGACCAGACUUGUUAGCAUCUGACUAAGAGUUCUCAUCAGUUAUAGUGGAAAAAGCAAAGUAUAAAAAAAACCUUGAAAUUAAUACCAGAAUCCUACUAUACUAUGAAACUCUGUGAAGCAAGGAUUAGAAAAAAGAUUCAAAAUACAUUCCGAGGAGCAGAUCUUUCUGUGGUAACACUGCAUUCCAAAUGUGCGAAAAAGACAGGGAAAAACAUGAACUGCAAUAAAUUACGGCUAAAGUGAGUUAGCUUAUUAACUUCCUUUCUCUGUUUCCUGGUGACUGGCAGCUAGCGGUUCUUAGAAGCUUUCAAAACCGGGAAUGAUAGGCAUCCUCAAGUUCAAAGACUCCCUUGAAACUUUUGGGCCUACAACUGCAGCUAGAAGUCCUGUUGAAACAGGCUUCCCUGGGUAAUUUCCAACACAGUUGGAUACACAGCGCUGUGAGAACUAGCUCCCUCAAGGUUGUUCAUCACUGACAUUCUGGUCUUGUCUAGAUUUGGGGAAACAAUGGCUGCCUGUGAAACUGGCCUGGGGCGUGUACACCUGGCAUCUCUAACCUGAGCCACCUGACCCUGGUCACUACCACAGUACUCAGAAUCUCUCCCCUACACAGGUGUCA